rnacentral:rRNA from 1 species
GAUAAACGCUGGCGGCGUGCUUAACACAUGCAAGUCGAACGGACUGAUGAGAGAGCUUGCUCUUUCUGAAAGUUAGUGGCGGACGGGUGAGUAACGCGUGGGAAACCUGCCUUACACUGGGGGAUAACAGAUGGAAACGCCUGUUAAUACCGCAUAAGCGCACGGUGCUGCAUGGUACCGUGUGAAAAACUCCGGUGGUGUAAGAUGGUCCCGCGUCUGAUUAGCUAGUUGGUGAGGUAACGGCCCACCAAGGCGAUGAUCAGUAGCCGGCCUGAGAGGGCGUACGGCCACAUUGGGACUGAGACACGGCCCAAACUCCUACGGGAGGCAGCAGUGGGGAAUAUUGGUCAAUGGACGGGAGUCUGAACCAGCCAAGUAGCGUGCAGGACGACGGCCCUAUGGGUUGUAAACUGCUUUUAUAGGGGGAUAAAGUGUGCCACGUGUGGCAUAUUGCAGGUACCCUAUGAAUAAGGACCGGCUAAUUCCGUG